rnacentral:rRNA from 1 species
CCCCUUCGGUUGGUAACUCCCUUUAAUUCCAAAGAUAAUGACGUAGAUAUGAUAAGCACCGGCUAACUCCGUGCCAGCAGCCGCGUAAUACGAGGGGUGCAAGCGUUACUCGGAAUCACUGGGCGUAAAGGAUGCGUAGGCGGGUGAUCAAGUUGAGAGUGAAAUCCUAUGGCUUAACCAUAGAACUGCUCUCAAAACUGGUUACCUAGAAUAUGGAAGAGGCAGAUGGAAUUAGUGGUGUAGGGGUAAAAUCCGUAGAGAUCACUAGGAAUACCGAUUGCGAAGGCGAUCUGCUGGGACAUUAUUGACGCUGAGGCAUGAAAGCGUGGGGAGCAAACAGGAUUAGAUACCCUGGUAGUCCACGCCCUAAACGAUGCACACUAGUUGUUGCGAUGCUCGUCAUUGCAGUAAUACAGUUAACACAUUAAGUGUGCCGCCUGGGGAGUACGGUCGCAAGAUUAAAACUCAAAGGAAUAGACGGGGACCCGCACAAGCGGUGGAGCAUGUGGUUUAAUUCGAAGAUACGCGAAGAACCUUACCUAGACUUGAAAUCCUUAGAAUCCUGUAGAGAUACGGGAGUGCUUGUUUACAAGAGCUAAGUGACAGGUGCUGCACGGCUGUCGUCAGCUCGUGUCGUGAGAUGUUGGGUUAAGUCCCGCAACGAGCGCAACCCUCGUGAUUAGUUGCUAACAGUUCGGCUGAGCACUCUAAUCAGACUGCCUUCGUAAGGAGGAGGAGGGUGAGGACGACGUCAAGUCAUCAUGGCCCUUAUGUCUAGGGCUACACACGUGCUACAAUGGUUGGGACAAAGAGCAGCGAUACCGCGAGGUGGAGCAAAUCUUAAAACCCAAUCUCAGUUCGGAUUGGAGUCUGCAACUCGACUCCAUGAAGCUGGAAUCGCUAGUAAUCGUAGAUCAGCAAUGCUACGGUGAAUACGUUCCCGGGUCUUGUACUCACCGCCCGUCACACCAUGGGAGUUGAUUUCGCUCGAAGCCGGAAUACUAAAUUAGUUACCGUCCACAGCGGAAUUAGCGACUGGGGUGAAGUCGUAACAAGGUAAC